GUUAACUCUUGGAAGCAGACAGUGCUCCAAGUACACCAUAUAAGCAAACGACUCAAUAAAGAAGCAAGGAAACAGUUAUGACCCUAAAACCCAAGGACUACUCAGGCAAGUGAUAGCAGCUCUGGGCUUCGAGGGCCAGAAUCCUCCGAAGAAUUCAAGAGAAGAGGGAAACAAUUGAGAGAAAAGCAUAAUCCUAACAGAAAGGAAUCUACGGCACUAAUGGCAGACAAAGCUAAGGGAAUGGCCAGCUCAGCGCAUCACACGAAAUCCUUUAGGUAUGCUGGUGCUAUGUUUUUCCUUUUGGGCAUGU